rnacentral:lncRNA from 1 species
AGAAUCUUCAAUGCCUCAAACAUCAUCUACCACUUGGAAGCUGUAGCUAGAGCUGCAAUGGCCAUGUUGCGACCAUGAAAAAAAGGCCAAGAGAUCUGCAAAGAAAUGAGCCCUGACUUAUUCCACUGCUGAACUAAUAUCAGCAAUUGCCUGCCUUGAACGUCUUGUUAUGUGAUCAAACUCUUCUGUUUCUCAGCAGUUUCUUCUUCCUUGAAGAACUUGGAGUGACAUUAGCUAAAGAAGUGAACAAAACCUCCCCUCACUUAUAUUUCACGAACUGUCUGCUGAGCAGAGUGAAAGAGGUAACUGUGAUGCUACAUGUUCUAGUGGAAGUUCAGUGCAGUUAUAGUUGAACAAGAACUCAACAGAACAAAACCAUCAUUUUGUUCCAUCGGAUAGUCUUUGAUAUUCCCCACUGUAUCAUAUUGAUGAAUGCCAAAUGACUCCCAAACUUGCCCUAAGACCUUCACUGACCUUUCAAUUUCUAACUGUAUUGUGAAGCACUUUAGGGGGUCUUGACUUCAUGCUUUGUCAGACUAGCUCUUUUCGUGAAUGAAGUUCAUGCAUAUGGCAGUACAAUAGACACUAUUAAGUCGCCCAGAUGAUAUAUCAGAGAUGCAUUUUUAAAGGAUUGUUAAAGGUAAGAGAUAUUAUACAUAUAAGAAGAGACCAUCUCCUUGAUCCAUAGGACAGAAGUUCUUUAGAAAGACAACUAAGCCAUGAAUACAUUCCAACAUCAAAACCCAAGAGCUAAUCCUGUGG